GCGAACGCUGGCGGCAGGCCUAACACAUGCAAGUCGAGCGGCCGUAGCAAUACGGCAGCGGCAGACGGGAUAGUAACACGUGGGAACGCGCCCUUCGGUUCGGAAUAACUCAGGGAAACUUGAGCUAAUACCGGAUACGCCCUUACGGGGAAAGAUUUAUUGCCGAAGGAACGGCCCGCGUCGGAUUAGCUAGUUGGUGAGGUAAUGGCUCACCAAGGCGACGAUCCGUAGCUGGUCUGAGAGGAUGACCAGCAUCACUGGGACUGAGACACGGCCCAGACUCCUACGGGAGGCAGCAGUGGGGAAUAUUGGACAAUGGGGGAAACCCUGAUCCAGCAAUGCCGCGUGAGUGAUGAAGGCCUUAGGGUUGUAAAGCUCUUUUACCCGAGAUGAUAAUGACAGUAUCGGGAGAAUAAGCUCCGGCUAACUCCGU
rnacentral:rRNA from 1 species